rnacentral:rRNA from 1 species
CCUACGGGUGGCAGCAGUGAGGAAUAUUGGUCAAUGGACGGAAGUCUGAACCAGCCAUGCCGCGUGCAGGAAGACGGCUCUAUGAGUUGUAAACUGCUUUUGUACAAGGGUAAACCUGAAUACGUGUAUUCAGCUGAAUGUACUGUACGAAUAAGGAUCGGCUAACUCCGUGCCAGCAGCCGCGGUAAUACGGAGGAUCCAAGCGUUAUCCGGAUUUAUUGGGUUUAAAGGGUGCGUAGGCGGAUUGAUAAGUUAGAGGUGAAAUGUCCGAGCUUAACUCGGGAACUGCCUUUAAUACUGUUGGUCUAGAGAGUAGAUGCGGUAGGCGGGAUGUAUGGUGUAGCGGUGAAAUGCUUAGAGAUCAUACAGAACACCGAUUGCGAAGGCAGCUUACCAAUCUAUAUCUGACGUUGAGGCACGAAAGCGUGGGGAGCAAACAGGAUUAGAUACCCGGGUAGUC